AGUGAACGCUGGCGGUAGGCCUAACACAUGCAAGUCGAACGGCGGCACAGUAAGAGCUUGCUCUUACGGGUGGCGAGUGGCGGACGGGUGAGGAAGACAUCGGAAUCUACUUUUUCGGGGGGGAUAACGUAGGGAAACGUACGCUAAUACCGCAUACGACCUACGGGGGAAAGCAGGGGAUCUUCGGACCUUGCGCGAUUGAAUGAGCCGAUGUCGGAUUAGCUAGUUGGCGGGGUAACGGCCCACCAAGGCGACGAUCCGUAGCUGGUCUGAGAGGAUGAUCAGCCACACUGGCACUGAGCCCCGGUCCUGACUCCUACGGGAGGCAGCAGUGGGGAGUAUUGGACAAUGGGCGCAAGCCUGCUCCUGCCAUACCGCGUGGGUCAAGAAGGCCUUCGGGUUGUAAAGCCCUUUUGUUGGGAAAGAAACGCAGCGGGUUAAUACCCCGCUGUUCUGACGGUACCCAAAGAAUAAGCCCCGGCUAACUUCCUG
rnacentral:rRNA from 1 species